GUAGCCUAUGUGAUAUAUGUGAAAUUUCUUCCUCAUGCAUGUGCUGCCGUGUUGGUGAAAGAAAACAGAAAAUGUGUAUCUAAGUACACUUGAAGAAGAGAUGGAAAAAGCAAUUGCAGAUUCUGAAUCUUGACGAAAAUCAGAACCACCAACAAGUGCACAAAGAUUAGUCUCGCUCUCACUUUCUCUCUAUAGGGGUAGAAGGCUUCAGUUUUUUUUCCAGAGUAUCUGUUCAACACACUGCGUGUCUGCUUCAUUGAGAAAUUUUGAGAGCUUUCCUCCGAAUAUACUUUUUAAUCCUAUAAUUUCCAUAGAUAAUUGUUUUAAGGAAGUUAAAACAAACUUUUGGGUUUCAUACCUUCUUUAUGCUUUCGUCGAGAGACUGAAAGAGGCAAAAUACAUUAAAAAUAAUAGAAUUAUGUCUCUUAAGUCACAAGCUGAUCACUUCUUUAUAUUUGGUUGAAUCAUUUUCUUAAUUCAGCUCUGCAGAUCUAACAAGAUUUGAUCCAGUUCUUUACACUCAUUUUCAAAGAAAAAUCAUGUUUCACAAAAAUAUAAAGCACAUAAUACCCAAAUUAAGUGGAGUAAAUAUCGAAUAAACUUCCUCAGGAAAUCUUGUUUCAAAGCAUUUGAUAUUUCAUUUUAAAUUCCAUUUGUCGGCAGGAAUGCAGAAAUCAUAAUAUUAUUUUGUAGUGACUGUAAGGGUAUCAUAGACACCUAAUUUUCAUCACCCCCUCGAUAAUUUUAAUAACCAAUUAUUUUUCUGUACUGAGAUUGUUAUUUUGUCCUGCUCUUUUGGUGUAAUACACCAUUUAUUGGAAAUGCAUAUGCCAGGUGAUACAGGGAAGGAGGUAUUUACCAGGUUGGCUUAAUUUUUUUUUUUUUUGAAAUUGUAUCCUCAAAGAGGGUUCUGUCAAUUAACUCAGGCUCAGCAUCUACAACGAGGUUGACUCAUUGCUGAUUAUUUUGAUUUUUCGCCUCGGAUAACUGGUCAAAAUUUUAUAUAUAUAAGAUUACCCAUCUUUCUCACAAAAUUUUAUAUAUAUAUAUAUAUAAGAUUACCCAUCUUUCUCAUAAAAUUAAUCGUAGUAGUUAGUACUAAUCCCUCAUAUUAGAUAGAAAUGGAAAGUUUUCUUCAUAUCUCAUCUUUAGCUAAAAUGGUGAAAUUACACACACAAUAUAUUUCUUGGAUUUUGAAUGUUCUUGACUUUUAACUGCUACUAAAGAAAAUCCAAGUGAUUAAUCUUCUCUAUUAUUAUGGAAGUUGUAUGAGGUAAAGGUACGGGCUUUUGUGACCAGUUUCUUAUAUCACUCCGUGUGAGAUAUCUACCAUUAUGAAAAUAAAACUUGGUCCAAAUUGUAAUUGAAUUGUAUUAAAAUAAAAACGGUAAAAUUUUAAACUUGUAAGUAUUGAACUCUUUGUUUUGAUGAGUUUUUUCAGCAAUUUUUUUUAGUUAUUGUACUUCUUUUAUUUUGUCUAAGUUCUUUAGAAGAGUUGUCUCACUUUCCUAGAGUCCUUUCUUCUGUUAGUAUCAAGAUGCAACAACGAUAUUUUGCAUGCUCACAGCGAGAAAAAGCAUGAAAUUGCGGAGAAUCUGGAGCACCAUACAAACACUGGUCCUAAUCGGGAAAGAAAAAAAGUAAGAAAAGGGACCGUUGAAGAAGGAGCAUCAAACAACUAUGCCACAAGUGAUGCAGAUAUGGUAGUUGAACAUUAAUUAGAUGGAUUACCACCAUCUUGAUCCAGGGCCCUUCGACGGAGAGGUACUAUAUCUUCAGCCGGAGCAUAGGUCGCAGCAUAUAUGGGCAUUCGACCUACAGCCUGAGGCUCAGGUCCGUACCCGGUUAGGGGAAUCAGCAUGGGAGAUCUUAGCUGCUCGCCCCCACAUCCUCGCGUCCUGGAUAUACGAUGUCGAGGCGGUAUCUACCAGUAUGUCGAAGUUGGUCGGGUACAGUACAAUAGGUCGCUAGUGACGGACUUGAUUGAGAGGUGGCGACCGGAGACGCAUACAUUUCAUCUCCGCACUGGUGAGGCUACCAUUACCCUCUAGGAUGUGGAGGUCAUUUAUGGGCAACGGGUUGAUGGACGCCCAUUGUAUAUUGAUGAGCCUCAGGUGCUGCCGGCUUACCGGGAUGAGUUGACUAGGCUCAUCGUUUCACUGCUCCGAUUGAUGAUUUUUCGGGCCAGAGGCGGCUUUUGUUGUCAGCCUUUAUGCUCACUUGCGCCUCACAGACAUGCAACAUCCGAUUGGAGAGGACACGCCUCAGGCUGAUGUUGACCGUCGUGCGCAUCUAUACCUACUCAUCAUAUUCGGGGCCAUCCUGUUCGCGAGCACUUCGGGUUUGCAUGUGAGCUUGAGGUAUCUUCAGUAUAUCGACGAUCUUGCCGAGUUAGGAUGUUGUAGCUGGGGCGCUGCUGUGCUCGGCUACAUGUAUCGAGGAUUCUGCCGAUGUUCUAUGGACACGAGGGUAGAGGUCCCUGCAUUUUACUCGCUCUUUCAGAUACGGGUGUGGACUAGGUUGAGACCUUUUCAGCCCACACCAGCUCACCCUCCCGCUGACUAUCUUGUUGUGCUGAUGCCAUACGUGCGGAGAUGAUCGAGACGCAUACACCGAUGUGCGGAGACGCACCACAGCCUUCUCCUGUUUAGGGUCAGAUGACGGCGCAGACGGCUUUUAGUUGGAUGCCGUAUGAUCAUAUUUUGGAUGAGCUACCGACGUUUUGUAGGGCUGGUCAGCACAUGUGGAUGUCGCAGUGUCCAUUGAUACAUAUGGAUAUCAUUAAGUAUCACGCGCCCGACCGCGUGUUACGACAGUUUGGGUAUGUACAGAAUAUAUCCACGGCUACGGAUUGGAAGCACGACCACUAUGUGUGAGACGAGCGUGCAGACGUCGAUGAUACAUGGCGGCUCCAUAUGCAGCAGCAGGUCCAGAGUUGGGAUGCGAGGAUGACGAGCCUAGCGAUGGUCGGACAUGACAGUCCAAUCCAUCUGUACAUGGAGUGGUAUAUGCGGAUCGCUCGCAUUAUUAUUGGCAACCCCACUAGGUGUCGUCCAGAUGGCCUAAGAUAUGUAGCUUUCGCAGGAGCGUAUGAGGCGCUGGUACGGACCGUUCAGACGAUGCGCUAUGAGAGUACUGCCCGUACACAGGCCCCCGAGACAGCGGAGUAUGCAUCACGGAUGAUUGAGCUUGCUGAGACUGGUAUGCGACAGGCACAUGACUUUGAGCGUCUCCGUGAGCGUGUUCUCGAUGCCCCACUUCAGGCAGCUGCCCCAUCUCAGGCAGCAGAUGGUCGUAGUCGUUGAGGAGCUAGUGGCCGUCGCAGAGGUGGUAGGGCUCGCAGAGGUAAUGAGGCUCCAUCGGCUUCAGAGAUCCCGUCGAGUUCUUACCGGCUGUCGACUACAGAUAUCCCAUCGGCUUCUUCUUCCCGACCAUCGACUUCACAGACACCUCUGUAUAUGCUGGACCUUUUGUCAGAUUAUAUGCCCUGGCCUUCAUUUCCACAUCCACCAGUUCGUGAUCCACAAGGUGAACGGCCGGUUCGUGAUCUACAGGGUGGCCUACAUCUAGAUUUCGACGCCAUGUUCAAGGACUUCGUGUUUGAUACGGCACCAUCUGCAUCUCCUGCUCCGGGUGCCGCUCAGGAGGCCUCUCACUAGGUUCAUUCUUCUAUGCCUGCGGACCCAUCUCCGGCUCCAGCUACAGCUCCAAGGCCCACUUAGGAGACCGUUCAAGAGGCAGCUCAGGAGCCUCUCACCAGCCAUCUCAGGAGGCCGUCGACACACAGGUUCAUUCUUCUGUGCCUGUGGACGGGUCUCUUAAUGAGAUUGACGAGACUCUUGAUGUUGUUGUCCUACUCCUACCGCCCAUUGUCAUCUCCUAUAGGAAGCAUGUUAUGAACCAGGGUCCGGGUCGAAGAAGGGAAGGAAGGGAAGCAAGGAUGAUCAUGCCAUAGAGCAUGUACAGAUUAAGAGGAGGAAGGGGGAUGGAGAUGAUGGUGAGGGUGGUGGGGAUAGUGGGGUUGGCCUUAAGCCUAGCUGUACUCUAAAGGCUCCCAGAUGUGAGACCUGAGAUUGUGUAUUUGUAAAUAAAGUGUACAUUUAAAGCCCGUUUGGAUUGGCUUAUAAGUUGCUUAUAAGUUGUUUUCAGCUU